AACGCUGGCGGCAGGCCUAACACAUGCAAGUCGAACGAACUCUUCGGAGUUAGUGGCGGACGGGUGAGUAACACGUGGGAACGUGCCUUUAGGUUCGGAAUAACUCAGGGAAACUUGUGCUAAUACCGAAUGUGCCCUUCGGGGGAAAGAUUUAUCGCCUUUAGAGCGGCCCGCGUCUGAUUAGCUAGUUGGUGAGGUAAUGGCUCACCAAGGCGACGAUCAGUAGCUGGUCUGAGAGGAUGAUCAGCCACAUUGGGACUGAGACACGGCCCAAACUCCUACGGGAGGCAGCAGUGGGGAAUCUUGCGCAAUGGGCGAAAGCCUGACGCAGCCAUGCCGCGUGAAUGAUGAAGGUCUUAGGAUUGUAAAAUUCUUUCACCGGGGACGAUAAUGACGGUACCCGGAGAAGAAGCCCCGGCUAACUUCGUGCCAGCAGCCGCGGUAAUACGAAGGGGGCUAGCGUUGCUCGGAAUUACUGGGCGUAAAGGGAGCGUAGGCGGACAUUUAAGUCAGGGGUGAAAUCCCGGGGCUCAACCUCGGAAUUGCCUUUGAUACUGGGUGUCUUGAGUAUGAGAGAGGUGUGUGGAACUCCGAGUGUAGAGGUGAAAUUCGUAGAUAUUCGGAAGAACACCAGUGGCGAAGGCGACACACUGGCUCAUUACUGACGCUGAGGCUCGAAAGCGUGGGGAGCAAACAGGAUUAGAUACCCUGGUAGUCCACGCCGUAAA
rnacentral:rRNA from 1 species